GAGUUUGAUCUUGGCUCAGAUUGAACGCUGGCGGCAUGCCUUACACAUGCAAGUCGAACGGCAGCACGGGAGCUUGCUCCUGGUGGCGAGUGGCGAACGGGUGAGUAAUGCAUCGGAACGUAUCCUGGAGUGGGGGAUAACGUAGCGAAAGUUACGCUAAUACCGCAUAUUCUGUGAGCAGGAAAGCGGGGGACCUUCGGGCCUCGCGCUCUUGGAGCGGCCGAUGUCGGAUUAGCUAGUUGGUGAGGUAAAGGCUCACCAAGGCGACGAUCCGUAGCAGGUCUGAGAGGAUGAUCUGCCACACUGGAACGUGAGACACGGUCCAGACCUCCUACGGGA
rnacentral:rRNA from 1 species